CGCUAUGGCGGAGUUGUCGGUUUCCGCAAGGAAUUGAAAGGGAAUCCGCCGGGGCAUCAGCCCCGAACCGGAACUGCCCCCGCAACUGUAGGCGGCGAGCAGGGUGCGAAACAGCCACUGUGGCCCAUGCCAUGGGAAGGCCGCAUCCCUGCCGUGACCCGUCAGUCAGGAGACCUGCCGACGCGAUGACCAACCC
rnacentral:ncRNA from 2 species